GUACCUAUAGCUCAACGGGAUAGAGUGCCUGACUACGAAUCAGGAGGUUGGGGGUUCGAGUCCUCCUAGGUACACCA
rnacentral:tRNA from 2 species